UACGGGGGGAGCAAGCGUUGUUCGGAUUUACUGGGCGUAAAGGGCGCGUAGGCGGCCACCGCAAGACGACUGUGAAAUCUCCGGGCUUAACCCGGAAAGGUCAGCCGAUACUGCGGGGCUAGAGUGCAGAAGGGGCAACUGGAAUUCUCGGUGUAGCGGUGAAAUGCGCAGAUAUCAGGAGGAACACCGGUGGCGAAGGCGGUUCUCUGGGCAUUACCUGACGCUGAGGAGCGAAAGCAUGGGGAGCGAACAGG
rnacentral:rRNA from 1 species